rnacentral:rRNA from 1 species
ACGGGGGCCCGCACAAGCGGUGGAUUAUGUGGUUUAAUUCGAUGAUACGCGAGGAACCUUACCAAGGCUUAAAUGGGAAAUGACAGGUUUAGAAAUAGACUUUUCUUCGGACAUUUUUCAAGGUGCUGCAUGGUUGUCGUCAGCUCGUGCCGUGAGGUGUUAGGUUAAGUCCUGCAACGAGCGCAACCCCUGUCACUAGUUGCCAUCAUUAAGUUGGGGACUCUAGUGAGACUGCCUACGCAAGUAGAGAGGAAGGUGGGGAUGACGUCAAAUCAUCACGGCCCUUACGCCUUGGGCCACACACGUAAUACAAUGGCCGGUACAGAGGGCAGCUACACAGCGAUGUGAUGCAAAUCUCGAAAGCCGGUCUCAGUUCGGAUUGGAGUCUGCAACUCGACUCUAUGAAGCUGGAAUCGCUAGUAAUCGCGCAUCAGCCAUGGCGCGGUGAAUACGUUCCCGGGCCUUGUACACACCGCCCGUCAAGCCAUGGAAGUCUGGGGUACCUGAAGUCGGUGACCGUA